UACGAAGGGGGCUAGCGUUGCUCGGAAUCACUGGGCGUAAAGGGUGCGUAGGCGGGUCUUUAAGUCAGGGUGAAUCCUGGAGCUCAACUCCAGAACUGCCUUGAUACUGAAGAUCUUGAGUUCGGGAGAGGUGAGUGGAACUGCGAGUGUAGAGGUGAAAUUCGUAGAUAUUCGCAAGAACACCAGUGGCGAAGGCGGCUCACUGGCCCGAUACUGACGCUGAGGCACGAAAGCGUGGGAGCAACAGGG
rnacentral:rRNA from 1 species